rnacentral:rRNA from 1 species
UACGUAGGGUGCGAGCGUUAAUCGGAAUUACUGGGCGUAAAGCGUGCGCAGGCGGUUUGGUAAGACAGAUGUGAAAUCCCCGGGCUUAACCUGGGAAUUGCAUUUGUGACUGCCCGGCUAGAGUGUGUCAGAGGGGGGUAGAAUUCCACGUGUAGCAGUGAAAUGCGUAGAUAUGUGGAGGAAUACCGAUGGCGAAGGCAGCCCCCUGGGAUAACACUGACGCUCAUGCACGAAAGCGUGGGGAGCGAACAGG